rnacentral:rRNA from 1 species
GGUUAAGUGACUAAGCGUACAUGGUGGAUGCCUUGGCAGUCAGAGGCGAUGAAGGACGUACUAACCUGCGAUAAGCUGUGAGAAGUCGGUAAGAGACGCUAUUACUCACAGAUUUCCGAAUGGGGAAACCCACCCAGCAUAAGCUGGGUAUCGUUAAGUGAAUACAUAGCUUAACGAGGCGAACCGGGAGAACUGAAACAUCUAAGUACCCCGAGGAAAAGAAAUCAACCGAGAUUCCCUCAGUAGCGGCGAGCGAACGGGGAUUAGCCCUUAAGUUUCUUGGAAGUUAGUGGAAUGG